rnacentral:rRNA from 1 species
AACGAACGCUGGCGGCAUGCCUAACACAUGCAAGUCGAACGAGACCUUCGGGUCUAGUGGCGCACGGGUGCGUAACGCGUGGGAACCUGCCCUUAGGUUCGGAAUAACUCCCCGAAAGGGGUGCUAAUACCGGAUAAUGUCUUCGGACCAAAGAUUUAUCGCCUUUGGAUGGGCCCGCGUUGGAUUAGCUAGUUGGUAGGGUAAAAGCCUACCAAGGCGACGAUCCAUAGCUGGUCUGAGAGGAUGAUCAGCCACACUGGGACUGAGACACGGCCCAGACUCCUACGGGAGGCAGCAGUGGGGAAUAUUGGACAAUGGGCGAAAGCCUGAUCCAGCAAUGCCGCGUGAGUGAUGAAGGCCUUAGGGUUGUAAAGCUCUUUUACCCGGGAUGAUAAUGACAGUACCGGGGAAUAAGCUCCGGCUAACUCCG